UACGUAGGGUGCAAGCGUUGUCCGGAAUUAUUGGGCGUAAAGAGCUUGUAGGCGGUUUGUCGCGUCUGCUGUGAAAUUUCGGGGCUCAACCCCGAACUUGCAGUGGGUACGGGCAGACUAGAGUGUGGUAGGGGAGACUGGAAUUCCUGGUGUAGCGGUGAAAUGCGCAGAUAUCAGGAGGAACACCGAUGGCGAAGGCAGGUCUCUGGGCCACUACUGACCGCUGAGAAGCGAAAGCAUGGGGAGCGAACAGG
rnacentral:rRNA from 1 species